AGAGGAGCUUGCUCUUCUUGGAUGAGUUGCGAACGGGUGAGUAACGCGUAGGUAACCUGCCUUGUAGCGGGGGAUAACUAUUGGAAACGAUAGCUAAUACCGCAUAACAAUGGAUGACACAUGUCAUUUAUUUGAAAGGGGCAAUUGCUCCACUACAAGAUGGACCUGCGUUGUAUUAGCUAGUAGGUGAGGUAAUGGCUCACCUAGGCGACGAUACAUAGCCGACCUGAGAGGGUGAUCGGCCACACUGGGACUGAGACACGGCCCAGACUCCUACGGGAGGCAGCAGUAGGGAAUCUUCGGCAAUGGGGGCAACCCUGACCGAGCAACGCCGCGUGAGUGAAGAAGGUUUUCGGAUCGUAAAGCUCUGUUGUAAGUCAAGAACGGGUGUGAGAGUGGAAAGUUCACACUGUGACGGUAGCUUACCAGAAAGGGACGGCUAACUACGUGCCAGCAGCCGCGGUAAUACGUAGGUCCCGAGCGUUGUCCGGAUUUAUUGGGCGUAAAGCGAGCGCAGGCGGUUUGAUAAGUCUGAAGUUAAAGGCUGUGGCUCAACCAUAGUUCGCUUUGGAAACUGUCAAACUUGAGUGCAGAAGGGGAGAGUGGAAUUCCAUGUGUAGCGGUGAAAUGCGUAGAUAUAUGGAGGAACACCGGUGGCGAAAGCGGCUCUCUGGUCUGUAACUGACGCUGAGGCUCGAAAGCGUGGGGAGCGAACAGGAUUAGAUACCCUGGUAGUCCACGCCGUAAACGAUGAGUGCUAGGUGUUGGAUCCUUUCCGGGAUUCAGUGCCGCAGCUAACGCAUUAAGCACUCCGCCUGGGGAGUACGACCGCAAGGUUGAAACUCAAAGGAAUUGACGGGGGCCCGCACAAGCGGUGGAGCAUGUGGUUUAAUUCGAAGCAACGCGAAGAACCUUACCAGGUCUUGACAUCCCGAUGCUAUUUCUAGAGAUAGAAAGUUACUUCGGUACAUCGGUGACAGGUGGUGCAUGGUUGUCGUCAGCUCGUGUCGUGAGAUGUUGGGUUAAGUCCCGCAACGAGCGCAACCCCUAUUGUUAGUUGCCAUCAUUCAGUUGGGCACUCUAGCGAGACUGCCGGUAAUAAACCGGAGGAAGGUGGGGAUGACGUCAAAUCAUCAUGCCCCUUAUGACCUGGGCUACACACGUGCUACAAUGGUUGGUACAACGAGUUGCGAGUCGGUGACGGCGAGCUAAUCUCUUAAAGCCAAUCUCAGUUCGGAUUGUAGGCUGCAACUCGCCUACAUGAAGUCGGAAUCGCUAGUAAUCGCGGAUCA
rnacentral:rRNA from 1 species